rnacentral:rRNA from 1 species
AUAGCAGUGGGGAAUAUUGCACAAUGGGCGCAAGCCUGAUGCAGCGACGCCGCGUGAGGGAUGAAGGCCUUCGGGUUGUAAACCUCUUUCAGCAGGGAAGAAGUGCCUGGGUUUUUUUGGGUGUGACGGUACCUGCAGAAGAAGCACCGGCUAACUACGUGCCAGCAGCCGCGGUAAUACGUAGGGUGCAAGCGUUGUCCGGAAUUAUUGGGCGUAAAGAGCUCGUAGGCGGUUUGUCGCGUCUGCCGUGAAAGUCCGGGGCUCAACUCCGGAUCUGCGGUGGGUACGGGCAGACUAGAGUGAUGUAGGGGAGACUGGAAUUCCUGGUGUAGCGGUGAAAUGCGCAGAUAUCAGGAGGAACACCGAUGGCGAAGGCAGGUCUCUGGGCAUUAACUGACGCUGAGGAGCGAAAGCAUGGGGAGCGAACAGGAUUAGAUACCCUGGUAGUCCAUGCCGUAAACGUUGGGCACUAGGUGUGGGGGACAUUCCACGUUUUCCGCGCCGUAGCUAACACAUUAAGUGCCCCGCCUGGGGAGUACGGCCGCAAGGCUAAAACUCAAAGGAAUUGACGGGGGCCCGCACAAGCGGCGGAGCAUGCGGAUUAAUUCGAUGCAACGCGAAGAACCUUACCAAGGCUUGACAUGAACCGGAAAUACCUGGAAGCAGGUGCCCCGCUUGCGGUCGGUUUACAGGUGGUGCAUGGUUGUCGUCAGCUCGUGUCGUGAGAUGUUGGGUUAAGUCCCGCAACGAGCGCAACCCUCGUUCUAUGUUGCCAGCGCGUGAUGGCGGGGACUCAUAGGAGACUGCCGGGGUCAACUCGGAGGAAGGUGGGGACGACGUCAAAUCAUCAUGCCCCUUAUGUCUUGGGCUUCACGCAUGCUACAAUGGCCGGUACAAAGGGUUGCGAUACUGUGAGGUGGAGCUAAUCCCAAAAAGCCGGUCUCAGUUCGGAUUGGGGUCUGCAACUCGACCCCAUGAAGUCGGAGUCGCUAGUAAUCGCAGAUCAGCAACGCUGCGGUGAAUACGUUCCCGGGCCUUGUACACACCGCC